rnacentral:misc_RNA from 1 species
UCUUCUUCAACUCCUCCGCCUCGCGGAUCUUCUGCAUCUGGAGCAUCCGCUCCAUGACGAGCUCGUACUGGCACUUCUCGUAGACGUGGCGCUCGGUCUCGCACUUCCACGGCAUGUAGAACUCGGCGGCGCGGCACUUGUUGAGGGGGAUGAGGAGGUGGGCGCACUGGUCGCGGUACGCGAGCGGCACCCGCGCCUCCAUCAUCUCCUGCUGGGACGCGAUCAUUGGCUUCGAUGACCCGAGCUUCACCUCCUCCGCCGCCGCCAUUGUUGCCGAUGCUGGUUCAGAUCUGAGGAAUUUUG